GAUGAACGCUGGCGGCGUGCUUAACACAUGCAAGUCGAACGAUGAAGCCCAGCUUGCUGGGUGGAUUAGUGGCGAACGGGUGAGUAACACGUGAGCAACCUGCCCCUGACUCUGGGAUAAGCGCUGGAAACGGCGUCUAAUACUGGAUAUGUCCCGUCACCGCAUGGUGUGCGGGUGGAAAGAUUUUUCGGUUGGGGAUGGGCUCGCGGCCUAUCAGCUUGUUGGUGAGGUAAUGGCUCACCAAGGCGUCGACGGGUAGCCGGCCUGAGAGGGUGACCGGCCACACUGGGACUGAAACACGGCCCAGACUCCUACGGGAGGCAGCAGUGGGGAAUAUUGCACAAUGGGCGGAAGCCUGAUGCAGCAACGCCGCGUGAGGGAUGACGGCCUUCGGGUUGUAAACCUCUUUUAGCAGGGAAGAAGCGAAAGUGACGGUACCUGCAGAAAAAGCACCGGCUAACUACGUG
rnacentral:rRNA from 1 species